GCAGGGGGUAACGUUUAACUUCCUCAGCCGCCGCCCUUCUCCUCAAGCAGCCAGGAUGAGCACCGGCGCAACGCCGACACCCCAGGGAAACGCCCCGCCUGCCUCCUCGGCGGUUCCCAACAGCAGCCGCCCAGGCGCUCGCCGCAGCCCACGCAGCGAAUCUCGGCGGGACAGCCGGCUGAAGGGAAGUGCCCCCGGCACAGCGAUGCCGAGCAGCCGGGAGCCUGUGCCCUUACCCAGAGCGUUAGGUAUGUUUGCGACAAUGCAACAAUUGCAGUAAGAGGGAGGAACUCUUCAAGACACAGGAUGUAUCUAUGCAGGUAGGAUAUACUCAUAUAGAUCACGCAAAUAAAGCAGAGCCAAGGGAGUUCAUGAGAGCUGCUGGAAAGAAACGAGCCAUUACAUGAAAACAAAGUUAAGUAUAUUGCUCAGGAGUCUCCCAUCCAUGAAAACAAAGGCUGAGUUCUUCACAUAAUUUUGUCAGUUUCUGAAGUUGCUCCUCUCACACUGAAGCACCUAUUGGAAUAAGCUUUGACCCAUGGCAAAAAGCAGUGAGUAAGUACAUUUUCUUAGCCACUGCCUAUGAAAGCUUUGCCCAGAGCCACACAGUCCAGAAGUCGCUUCACAUUUUAAAACCACAUUUUGAGAAGCCCUGCAGCC